rnacentral:rRNA from 1 species
AUAUUGGUCAAUGGAGGCAACUCUGAACCAGCCAUGCCGCGUGCAGGAAGACGGCCCUAUGGGUUGUAAACUGCUUUUAUUCGGGAAUAAACCCCUCUACGUGUAGAGGGUUGAAUGUACUGAAGGAAUACGGAUCGGCUAACUCCGUGCCAGCAGCCGCGGUAAUACGGAGGAUCCAAGCGUUAUCCGGAUUUAUUGGGUUUAAAGGGUCCGUAGGCGGGACAAUAAGUCAGUGGUGAAAGUCUGCAGCUUAACUGUAGAAUUGCCGUUGAAACUGUUGUUCUUGAGUAAUUAUGAAGUGGUUAGAAUAUGUAGUGUAGCGGUGAAAUGCAUAGAUAUUACAUAGAAUACCGAUUGCGAAGGCAGAUCACUAAUAAUUCACUGACGCUGAUGGACGAAAGCGUAGGUAGCGAACAGG